rnacentral:ncRNA from 1 species
AAACAUUAGUCGGGGUGCUUUAUUUUUAAAUAAAAGCUGAGAUGAUACCCGUGAACCUGAUACAGUUAAUACUGGCGUAGGAAACUAGACAAUGAUUAUC